AAAGAGGUCUUGAGGGACUUGAGCUGCAGGGGUGCUGGAGAAGGUAGAAAUGGGGUUCGGGGUGCCAUCCUGAAGGUUAGAACCUUCUAGGGGAGGGUGUCAUGGAGGAGGGGGUGCCAGGUAGUAGUGUUUGUAGAUUUGGGCCCUCCACAAUGUCUUGGGGUAUGUGGGAAUUAGGGCUGGGAACCCCCAGCUCCCAGACCAGAAACACUCUUGUAUCUUACAAAUCCAAUGCUCCAGGUCCCUGACCCCUCUUCCUCCUUCCUCUCUUGUUCUCCUCCUCCCUCCCCGCCCCCGCCGGCCCCCUCCCCACCGC
rnacentral:lncRNA from 10 species